GAAAUUUCAAACUGUUCUAUGCUUUGGCCGUAGGGUUUUGUUUUUUCUUCAUCAUCCAUCCUGUUUUUUUAUCCUUUAUUUUAUGGUUCAAACAUGUAUUCCUCUAGAGGAAAUGGUGCCUACGGUCAGCAAGCUUAUGGCUUGCAAUCUGGCUAUGCUCAAAACCUGGGAUCUGCAUAUUCUGCAAGUUCAGUUGGAGGGCCUAAUGGAGGCUCUCAACAUUCAUUGGCUUCUAGGCAUUCCUCAAUGUUAAGUGCCUCUCAAGAAACAGAUGUUGGUGGAUUACGAAGCUCGGCAUCACAUUUUGGAGGUCAAUAUGGAGCUAUCCAUGGCUCAGCUUCCAUGACUGGUGCUCAGCAGGUGCCCACAAUGAGUGCUAAAGGGACUGGACCAUCAGCUUUGGAAGUUCGUGGUGGCUAUCCCUCAGGUCUAUCUGAUUCUCCAAAAUUUUCUUCUGGUGACUAUGUUCCAUCAUCUAGUCUUGGAUAUGGUCACAAAAGUGAUCAAUUAUACACAGAGAAGAUUCAUGAUUAUCCAGUGAUCGACAGACGUCAAUAUGGUGAACGACAGAGUGCUUAUAUUGGGAGGGACAUGCAAACUGAUCCAGCUGCACGAUAUGCCGAUUCUGUUGGUUUUAGUCAUCAACAUCAGGCUGGGAUGUAUGAACGUAUUGAUCAGGCAUCAAUGCUUCAACAAGAACAGUUACUGAAAUCUCAGUCAUGGCAAUCUGCAUCUCUUGAUGGAAAGGCCAGACAAAUUGAAUAUCUUGCAGCAAGAGGUGCUGCUAGCCGUCAUCCCACUCAAGAUCUUGUGUCUUAUGGAGGAAAAAUGGAUAUUGAUCCUAGCAGUUCAUCAAUGCUUAGUGGUGCUUCAUAUGGUGGGCAACAUGCUCUAUCAAUAUUAGGGGCAGCUCCGCGGAGGAAUGCGGAUGAUCUCCUGUAUCGUCAGAGUUCAUCAAAUCCAGGCUAUGGAGUUAGCCUGCCUCCUGGUAGGGAUUAUGGCACAGGAAAAGGGCUUCAUGGGGCAUCUGUUGAUGCAGAUUAUCAUGGAGGUCAUUUGAGGAUUGAUGAGCGUAGGGACGAUAAAGCUGGUUAUCUUCGGGAGUUUGAGCUAAGAGAGGAGGACCGUCGUCGAGAACUUUUGCGUGAGAGGGAGAAAGAAAGAGAAAGGGAGAAGGAAAGGGAACGGGAACGAGAACGAGAACGAGAAAGAAAGCGUGAAAGGGAACGCAUUUUGGAGCGGCGUGAGAAGGAGAGGGAGCGAGAGCGGAAACGUGCAAUUGAAAUUAGACGCGAACGAACUCCACCAAGAGUCUCAAGAGAGAGACAUGGGUCCUCUUUGACAAAGGAGGGGAGAUCUUUGCGACGAGAUUCCCCAAGCCAUGAAGCUUCAAAUAGGUGGAUCAUGAUGUUUCAUUUGCGUCCUACUCUAGUUCUGAAUAUAUAGCUGUUUGAAUAUCUUGCAGUCUUCAUAACUAACUAGCUGCUCUGUUAUGCUGAAGGCGUCAUUCACCUGUUAAAGAAAAAAGAAGAGAAUAUGUCUGCAAGAUUCAUGCUUCCAGUUUGGUUGAUGUAGAGAGGGAUUACAUGUCAAUAGAUAAGAGAUAUCCCAGACUAUUUAUAUCUCCUGAAUUUUCAAAGGUUGUCAUUAACUGGCCAAAGGAGAAUCUUAAACUUUCUAUCCAUACACCUGUCAGUUUUGAGCAUGAUUUUAUUGAAGAUGAAAGUGUAGCAGAGUCAAAAGAGCCCCCAUCAACUAAGCUUUUGACUCAACAACUUGAAAAAUCAGAGCAUGGGCGCACAAUAUGGAAUGCAAAGAUCAUUUUGAUGAGUGGACUUAGUAAAAAUGCCAUGGAAGAGCUUUCUUCUGAGAAAAGCUAUGAUGAUCGUCUACCACAUAUUUGCAAUAUUCUUAGGUUUGCUAUCCUGAAAAGGGAUCGUUCUUUCAUGGCAAUUGGUGGUCCAUGGGAUUCUGUUGAUGGUGGUGACCCCUCGGUUGAUGAUUCUGUUCUAGUUCAAACAGCCCUGAGAUAUACCAAGGAUGCAACACAAAUUGAUUUGCAGAACUGCCGUAACUGGAAUCGUUUUCUGGAGAUACACUAUGAUAGGUUUGGCAAGGAUGGGUUCUUCAGCCAUAAAGAGAUCACUGUACUGUUUGUUCCUGAUUUAUUUGACUGCCUGCCUUCAUUGGAUAUAUGGCGAGACCAGUGGCUUGCACACAAGAGGGCUGUUGCUGAGAGAGUGCGUCAACUCUCAUUAAAAAAAGAGAGGUCUAGGGAGAAGAAGGAAGGGCUGAAAGGUAAAGGAACAGAUUCUUCAAAAGAUUCUAAAAGGGUCGACAAAUCGGAAACAACCAAAGAGUCUGCAUUCUCUGGUGUCAAUAAUAAGGAGAAAGAUGGGAAAGGUAAAAUGAUUGCAGAAAAGGGUGAUGACAAUGACAAGAACCUUGAGAAGAAGAAUGUGAUUGGAACAGGAGAGGAAGUCAAGAAUGUUGAAAAGAAAGAACAAGGAGAUGCUGCAGGUUCUCAGACAACUGACAGUGUGAAGACUGGAAAAAAGAAGAUUAUAAGGAGGGUUGUCAAACAGAAGGUUGCUAAUAAGAAAGCAAAUACUGAGAGUACUGUCAGCAAGCAAAAUGAGUCGUUUGAUGCAAAGGACGCUGGAGAGGCCAAUGACAGAUCUGAGAUCCCUGUUGAGCAGAAUGAAUCUUCUGCUGAUCCUUCUGGAGUUAAAACUUUUGUGAGGAAGAAAGUUAUAAAAAAGGUUCCAGCAGGGAAAGCGACUCAAAAUGAAGAUAAGAGCUUGCAACCUGAGGUUAAAGCUGAGAAGGAAGUGGACAACACUGAAGAUAAACCAAAGGAUAAUUCACAAACUGGUAGUGGUGCAGUUGUACAAGGUACUAGUGUCAAAACUGCCAUAAAGAAGAAAAUAAUUAAGAGAGUACUUAAAAGAAAGCUUGCAGGUGUGGAGACCAGUGGUGGGGCCAAUGAGACUAAGAAGGAUGACAAAAUAGUAGCUCAGACAGGUAAUGGAACAGAAAAUAUGGAGAAAGAAAGAACAGAUGCAGAAAGCCAGAUGAAUGAGAUACAAAAUUCAGAAAAGAAAAUAAUUCCCAAGUCAAAAUCGCCUACUGUGGAGAAGGAAGCUAGUGUGCCCAAUUCAAAUAAGACAGAGAUCAAAGCUGUCAAGGAGGAUAAGAAGGAUGACAAAGAAACUGAUGGGAAAAGUGCCUCGGGGGCUAAAAUUGAGCGUAAGGAUGACAAACAAAAAGUUGCUCAGAGGGAUAAUCAUGAUAGCAAGAAAGGAAAAUCAAAGGAUGAUGAAAAAUCAAAGGAUGAGAAGGACAAAAAUGGCAAAGAUGAGUCUAGGGGAAAAUCUAAUAAGGAUGCAAAAGAAAAGAGAAUGCCUGAGGAACCUCCUAGGCAUCCUGGAUUGAUUUUUCAAACAAGAGGGGACAAGGAAACUAAGCUGCGGUCAUUGUCACUUUCACUUGACUCACUUUUGGACUACACUGAUAAUGAUGUCGAGGAAUCCACAUUUGAGCUCUCAUUAUUUGCUGAAUCAUUUUAUGAAAUGCUUCAAUAUCAGAUGGGCUCUCGUAUUCUGACAUUUCUCCAGAAGCUACGCAUUAAAUUUGUAACAAGAAGAAAUCAACGGAAGAGGCUGCGGGAGGAAAUGGAAGAGAAGGAUAUGGAGAGGAAAUCAUCAACCAAACGCCCAAAGAAUGAACAGCCUCUGAAGACUAAAUCUUCUGACUCUGAACUGUUGGCUACAAAUCAAUCUGAGGAUCCAAAAACUAAGAAAAAAGAAGAUACUUCUGUUGAUAAGGUUAAUGAAGCAGGGUCGGAAGAUGAAACUGAUUAUGAGGAAGACCCAGAGGAAGAUCCUGAAGAAUAUGAAGAAAUGGAGGAUGUUGGAGAUGACUCAUCUAAUGAGAAGAACAAAGAAGAGGGAAAGAUGGGUCUGGAUGCUGACUAUGAACCGGUGACUGGCAAUGGGAAAGAAAAAGCAGCGAAAGAUGCCAAGGAGACAAAAUGUGAAGAGGCAAAGGUCAAGUCUGAUGUUGAUUUGUCAGAAACGAGAGAUUUGAAGGUGGAGACUGGGAAUAAAGAGCCAUCUGCUGUAAAGGAUGCUGUGGUUGAUAAGGAACUAUUGCAGGCGUUCAGGUUUUUUGAUCGUAAUCGAACUGGCUAUGUUAGGGUAAAGAUUAAGAUUAAAGCUUUUAUGUUUUUCUUGCAUUAGCCAUGCCCAAGAUUGGUGAAGAGUAUCUUCUAUUUUUCAGGUUGCAGACAUGAGGUUGAUUAUCCAUAACUUGGGGAAAUUUCUUUCCCACAGGGAUGUGAAGGAACUCGUGCAAAGUGCACUGUUAGAGAGCAACACUGGGAGGGACGACCACAUUCUUUAUGGCAAACUGGUGAGAAUGGCCCUAGAUUGAGACAUGGAGCCUGGUUUGUUUUUGUUUUUACUAGUUUGGGAUUUGGUUUUUGUGGGUGGUGUUACUUUUUAUCAAGUUUUGAUUCGUCAGAAAUCUUUACUGGUGAAAAGGAUGGUGCUGUUACAUAUUUUGCAGAACAUUGAUAAUGAGAAAAUGUAAAUUGUUGUGAGCAAUAUUAAUAGAAACUUUGGGGGAUAGUCCCCUGUGCUUAUCUUUUUU
rnacentral:misc_RNA from 1 species